rnacentral:rRNA from 1 species
GUAGUCUCGCACAGACGCAUAUCAAUAAGCGGAGGAAAAGAAACUAACAAGGAUUCCCCUAGUAACGGCGAGUGAAGCGGGAAGAGCUCAAAUUUGAAAUCUUAAAGGGUUUCCCUUUACGAAUUGUAGUUUAAAGAAGUGUUUUCUGUUGAGGUUUUGGUAAAAUGUUCUUUGGAAUAGGACAUCAUAGAGGGUGAGAAUCCCGUAUUUGACCUUUACUUUCAACUUUGUGAUACACUUUCAAAGAGUCGGAUUGUUUGGGAAUGCAGUCCAAAAUGGGUGGUAAAUUUCAUCUAAAGCUAAAUAUUGGCGAGAGACCGAUAGCGAACAAGUACCGUGAGGGAAUGAUGAAAAGAACUUUGAAAAGAGAGUUAAACAGUACGUGAAAUUGUCAAAAGGGAAGCGUUUGACACCAGUGUUGUUUUUCUGAAAAUCAAUUAAAGAACUGUCUAUGCUAAGUUGUUUAGACUUUAUCAGCUAACUGUUUAGUUUUGAGCUUUUCUUUAAUACACUUUUCAGUUAACAAGUCAACAUCAAUUUCUUUUGCUGUAAAAAAGCUUGAGGAAGGUGGCUUGAGAUUCGUCUUAAGUGUUUAUAGCCUCUUGCCUAUGCAGUCGGAGAGAUUGAGGUCUGCAGCGUAGAUCCUUCGGGGCUAAAUGCAUUUGUGCUAAGUUAUAACAUUUUAUAGACAACUUGUUGACUAUGAUUUGUCUUGUAGCUUACUCGCUUAUGUUAUUUUACCUACGCUUAGGAUGUUGAUCUGUAGUGCGUGCGC